GCUACAGGAAAUAGGUUUUCUUUUUAUCCAACUUCACUCUGAAAUGAGAAAACGAGCACCCUGACAAGGAAGCCCACAGACCAACAGGGAUUCCGAGCCCAGAUCUCAUCAUGAUAAAGAAUGUUUAAUUGUUAGCUAAAGGUUCAGUCCGUGAGCAGGAACACCAAGGUUUUGAUACAAAGUAUCAAAACAAGGGCUGACGAGAUGGAAACGCUCCUGGAAUCCUGACAGGGAGUUUGUUGCAUCAGCGUCUCAGAGGAGUCCUGGUAAAGUCCUACCACAGAAGAUCCAGCCUUCAUUUUGAACUUGGAAACCUCCCCAUUCGCAGGCAGUGGCAAUGCCAGCAAGCCACAGGUGGGCACCGCGUGAGCAGGUAUUUAUUUUUUUAGUCGGGAGGUUUAGGAGAGUUUCAGACGAACGAGCGUCCAUGCCUUGGAAAUCCCAGAGAAGAAAAGUCAAGCAGCAUCAGGAAGAGAAACUGGCCGAGCUCUCAGCCGGCCUGCCCUGUGGUAAGGAAGCCACACUCGGGUGAGCUGCCCUCACUGCCAGGGGUGGCCGACAGACAGCAGCUUCUCUGCUGCAGAUUGAGAGAAACCUGACAUUGGCCUCUUGCACUGCACCUCAGAAGGAGGCAGGCUGCCGGGGACGCAGGGUGUGGGCGUCUGGGUAGCAUGUGAACACAGGAGACAGGGAGAGCUAUUCGGGAAGACGUGCUCGGUGGUUUCCUCUGGGCUCCUUGCUUAUUACCACCCUGAUUUUUGAGAUGGGAGCCGAAACCCCUACUAGCAUAAGGAACAUCAAUGACAGGUCCCCCUCUACUCCAGCCACACCAAGCAUCCCUAACAAACAACACUACUAACCAAACCCGCCCACACCUAUAGUAAGUACAUCUUUAAAAACCCGAAUAGCUGCUGGCAGCGCAGGCUGUGGCUACAAUUCAGACCCAGCUGGAUUGAGCGCAAGGUGAAGUUUGGCCGUGAAACUUUGUAUCUUCCCUUCUGGAUAGAACAAAGGUGGAUGCCUUGACACAGACUUGGUGGCCGUUUUGAGAGCUGGCCUUGCUUCUGACCAUUCAUGUGGUCACCACGUCCUUCGGCUUACAGUGACCGUGAAACCAAAUUCAUCAUUCUUGACCAAAAGGACAAAAACUGGGCUGAAAUGAUCUGCUAAAGGUUACAAACUGACUCGAGUAAGGAUGAAGACAUGUAGUACUUGGCGAGUCCAGUUGAGUCAGG